rnacentral:rRNA from 1 species
UACAGAGGGUGCGAGCGUUAAUCGGAAUUACUGGGCGUAAAGCGCACGUAGACGGUUGCGUAAGUCAGAUGUGAAAAUCCCUGAGCUCAACUCAGGAACUGCAUUUGAAACUGUCGGCCUUGAGUGGUGGAGAGGGAAGCGGAAUUCCUGGUGUAGAGGUGAAAUUCGUAGAUAUCAGGAGGAACACCGGUGGCGAAGGCGACUUCCUGGACACCAACUGACGCUGAGACGGCGAAAAGCGUGGGGAGCAAACAGG